rnacentral:lncRNA from 1 species
AGGCUUCUCCGAAACCGCUGAUUCUUCAGAUUUCUCUUCAAUUGGUGAUUCUUCGUGUUUUUUUUCAACUACGGGUUCUUCAGUUUUUUCCUCAACUGAUGCAUAAUCAGCACUAUCAUUGUUGGUAUUGCAUGGAGUUGCAUUUUCUGUCUUGUUCUUUGAGCCUACAAUUGGUGAAUUCUGCAAAAAAUUUAAAAUUUCAUUUAGUCUUUAAAUAGAUAAACAGAUGUAAAUUCAUUGCACAUAUAAAGCUAAUAUGAUAGAUAAACUUUGUGACAGUGUUUAAUCUUCACCUUCUCCUGAAGAGCUUCCAUUUCUAGUUCCUCCUCUUCACUUGCUGGUUUUUCAUCUUUCUCUUCAACAACUAGUUCUUCAGGUGUCUUUAUAGUCUUUGAUUCUUCAGGUGCUUCUUUAUCUGCCCGUUCUUCAGGUUUCUCUUCAGCCACCGGUUCUUGAGGUAUAUUCUCUUGUACUUCAGAUCUCUCCUCAAUUAUUGGUUCUGCAGGUUUCUCUUCAUUGUCUGGUUCUUUGGGUUUUUCUUCGACAGCCAAUUCUUCAAGAUGAUUUUCCUCAAUGUCUGGAAAGUGAGCAACAUCAUUAUUGGUAUUGCAUGGAAUUUCACUGUCAGUUUUGUCGUUCAAGUCUACAAUUAGCACAUUCUGCAAAAAGAAUUUAAUGUUUCACUUAGCCUUGCAACAAAAAAGCAGAUGUGAACAACAAUAUGUGCAUAACUAACAAAAUGGAUAAAUUUUGUGAUAGUGCUUACCUUUUCAGGUUUCUCCUCUUCAACCGCUGGCUCUUCAUAUUUCUCUGCAAGUGCUGGUUUUUCAGGCUUCUCUUCAACUGUCAGUUGUUCAGUUUUCUUAUCAAUGACCAGUUCUUCAAGAUUCUCCGAAACAACAGAUACUACAGAUUUAUUUUCAAGUGCAAGUUCUUCAUGUGUUUCCUCUCCUGCAAACUCUUCAGAUGUUACUUUUGAUGUCGGUGCUACAGGUUUCUCUUCAAGUGCUAGUUCUUCAUGUGUUUCCUCCCCUGCUAGCUCUUCAGUUUUUUCUUUCGAUGUUGGUUCUUCAGGUUCCUCUUUAACCUCUGGUACAUCAUGUUUCUUUUCAAUAACUAAUUCUUCAGGUUUUUCUUCAACUUCAACUGCUGGUUCUUCGAGUUUUUUCUCAAUUUCUGGAAAGUGAGCAGUAUUGUUGUUGGUAUUGCAUGGAAUUUCAUUAUCAGUUUUGUCCUUAGAGUCUACAACUAGCAAAUUCUGCAAGAAGUAUUUAAAGUUUCACUUAGUCUUUUGUAGAUAAGCAGAUGUGAAUUGUUACACUUACAUAACUAAUAGGAUGGAUAAACUUUAUCACAGUGCCUGACCCUCGCCUUAUCCAAAAGAGUUACCUUUUCAGAUUUCUCUUCAAAUGCUAGUUCAUUUGGUGUUUCUUCCCGUGUUGGUUCUUCAGGUGCUUCUUCAGUUACCCUUUUUUCUGGUUUAUCUUCAACUGUUGGUUCUUCUAGUGUCUCCUCAAUCGAUGGUUCUUCAAGUUUCUCCCUUGGUGCUAGUUUUUCAGAUUUAUCUUCAACUGUUGGUUGUUCAUGUUUAUUCUCAACCGCUGAUUCUUCAGGCUUCUCCAAAACCGCUGAGUCUUCAGAUUUCUCUUCAAUUGUUGGUUCUUCAUGUUUUUUUUCAACUACUGGUUCUUCAGUUUUUUCCUCAACUGAUGCAUAAUCAGCAAUAUCUUUGCUGGUAUUGCAUGGAAUUGCAUUUUCUGUCUUGUUCAUUGGGUCUACUAUUGGCGAAUUCUGCAAAAAAAUUUAAAGUUUCUUUUAGUCUUUCAAUAGAUAAACAGAUGUAAAUUCGUUGCGCACAUAAAGCUAAUAUGAUGGAUAAACUUUGUGACUGUUUAAUCCUCACAUUCUCCUGAAGAGCUUCCAUUUCAGGUUUCUCCUCUUCAAUUGCUGGUUUUUCAUCAUUCUCUUCAACCACUAGUUCUUCAAGUGUAUCUUCAACCGUUGGUUUUUCAGGUUUCUCUUUAAGGGUUUCCUCCCCUGCUAGAUCUUCAGAUGUUUCUCUUUCUGUUGGUUCUUCAGGUUUCUCUUCAGCCUCUGGUUUCUUAAUUUUUUCCUCAAAUGAUUCUUCAGAUUUCUGCUCAACUGUUGGUAAAUCAGGUUUCUCUGGUUCCUCGGGUUUUUCUUCAACUGCUGGUUCCUCAACUUUUGCAAAGUUAGCAGCAUCGUUUAGGGUAUUGCAUGGAAAUUCUUUGUCAGUUUUGUUGUUUGAGUCUACAGCUAGCAUUUUCUGCUAGAGGAAUUUAAAGUUUCAGUUAGUCUUUAAGUAGAUAAGCAAAUAUGGACUGUUGCACAUACAUAACUAAGACAAUGGAUAAACUUUGUGCCAGUGCUUGAUCCUCACCUUUUCCAAGAGAGUUACCUUAUUAGGUUUCUCCUCUUUAACUGCUGGUUUUCCACCUUUCUCUUCAACUGCUAGUUGUUCUGUUGUUUCUUCAACUGUUCGUUCUUCAAGUUUUUCUUUGAAUUCUAAUUUUUCCGGUGUUUUUUCCCGUGUUGGUUCUUUUGGUGUUUCUUCAACUACUAGUUCUUCGAGUUUCUCUUCAGCUGCUGUUUUUUCAAAUUUCUCCUGAACCUCUGUUUCUUUCUCUUGCACAACUGGCUCUUCAGGGUUUUUUUCAACUUCUGGUUCUUCAUGUUUCUCUGUAACUGUUGGUUCUUUAUGUUUCUCUUCAAUCAUUGGUUCUUCAUGUUUUUCUUCAACUGCUAGUUCUUCAGAUUUUUCCUCUACUGCUGGAUGGUCAGCAACAUCUUGGUUUCCCUUCUCGAUUAAGUUGUUCCCGUGUUUCCCGCUCGUAUCUGAUUCAGCAUCAUCUAAUCUAGUUUCUUCGACAACGUUAAUAAAUGAGUUACCAAGCACAAAUUGUUCUUGUACCAUUCGACCGUCAUCCUUGUCCGAGCUAGUUGCUGAUUCUUUUGCAUUUUCUGGGUAGCCAUUUGAAGAAAUAUUUUCAGCUGGGCUGAUUUCUACUCUUUCAUCUUCUGUUUUCUCCCCCUGGUGGAAUGAACUCCCGAAGAUCUGUUCAUCUGACUUGUUUGGUGUAUCGACUGACACAUGGACCUCUAUUGAACUGCCAUUUUCUUCAACAGCCUUGGAAACUAAGGGUGAUGCAUAAAAAAUUUCACCCCCAGUGAUUCCAUAGUUACCUUUAGUCAGAUCCUUAAUACUUGCAACCUCUGAAGCUCUUUCAAAUUCAGAUUGUGAAUGGCCCUUCUCGUCUUUCUCCAUCUUCAGUUUGUCUGAUAUUGUAUACACUUCCCCUAGCAAAUUCUCUUUUUUUUCCUGCAUAAAGGAAUGAUUUUUGCUAUGUCGUUACAGAAUUAAGAGAAAAUGUGUUUAACUUAUCUAACAUUGGCAGAGCAGCACUGAAGUUACAACAGGAUAUUUGUCAGACUAACCCUGCGAUAUUGGAACUGCAUGUAUUAGCAAGAUCUCUGUUUUAUCAUUGAAAUGGAGUUACUAACCCAAGCCUAGUGGUAAAAGCCGCAGAUGUCCCAACAUAGGACCUAUUCAGUAAACCCAUGUUUGAGAAUCCCCCCAGAAAGAGUUGCUAUUACUCUUCCCUGUAUUAACCAAUUAAUCUCCAACAGGACCUAUUUACUCUUCGUAUAAUGUAUCAGAUAUUCUUCAUUGGCGUAAAGAGACUGCAACAGUAUGGAGGGAGGUGAUUAGGAAUGAUAUGGAGCAGUUACAGCUUACGGAGGACAUGACCCUUGAUAGGAAGGUGUGGAGGACGCGGAUUAGGGUAGAGGGUUAGGGGGUGGGAGUGCGUCGGUAUCAGUAGGGGAGCGUUCUUUUGUGUCUAGAGUUUCUUGUUCGUGGUGUUGUGGCUGUAGUAUUAUCUUGGGGCUAGCGGUGUUAGUUUAUUUUGCAUACCGUACUAGCUUAUAUGCACUUAUCUUUUGUGUUUGUUAUAUUGUUGGUUUAUUUUGCAUACCGUACUAGUUUACAUGUACUUAUCUUUUGUGUUUACUAUACUAUUAUCGGUCCUAAGCCGGGGUCUAUCGGAAACAACCUUUCUACCUCUCUACCUCACCUGAGGUAAUGGUAUGGUCUGCGUACACUCUACACUCCCUAGACCCCACUAUGUGGGAAUAUACUGGGUAUGUUGUUGUUGUUGUUGUUGGCGUAAAGAGACUGCAGUAUUAAACAAUAGGAAAAACAAUGCAGGAAUACUUCUACCUACAAUAUUUGAAGUUUGUGAAAAGUCGAUGAGAUACUGUUUAUUGCAUGUACAAGUGAUGUGUUAGUGGCUUCUAAAGAAAGAUAAAUUUUGAGUUAUCAGUUGGGUAAAUACAGAUUAGUUCGUCAGUUGGGGGCUUAAGUUAUUUACUUCUGAGAGUAUAUAUAUUAAUUACCAGUAGCAUGUUUCUAGAUUAGCUUGAUGUGACAAAGAAGUUAUAUAGAGAAUUUGAAGUGUUGGUGUCAAACAGUCAUGAUAAUCCAAUUACCUCUAACAUUUUCCGUUAAGUGUUUCUAAAAUAUGAGAAUAUUGAUUUGAAAUGUAUAUUUAUAAUUUCUCCAUGUAAGAACUUGAGUGGAACAAUUCUCCUUCCAGGCUAACUAGAUGUCGUCUCACACAAUUAAAAUGAGGAACACGUUGUUGUUCUAAGCUCAUGUUCGCUCCUCAAAACUAACACCUCAGACCAUACUAAACUUCAUUUCAGAAUAUGACAGCUAAUGUUAAAAUGAAGUAUUCACUUUCUCCUUGCUAAAGCUACCACAAUCUGUUAUGGAGUCGGGGCAAUACAAUUAACAAGAAAAUGAAUCUUUAGUUACACCCAAACUCAGCCUUUGUUUCCCUAUAGUUCUCUUUCGACCACAAGCUAUAAUUUUCUUUUAAUUAAACCAGUAUCUUUCAAUGCUAAUUUAUUUACGAAGAGUUUUUUUGAAAGUCAGAUUUCAUUAAUUCGUUUCUGUGCUAAUUUAAGUUUUCCCUAGGUAUUCUUUUUGUCAAUAUCUAUAUUCUAUAGUCUUUUGGAGAGGGUCAAGUUUUCAGUACUACAUUAUUAAAGGUGAGUAGUUGAGAAUUAAUAAUUGUGCUGAUUUGUUUCUGUGCCAUUUCUUUUUAGGCUAGCUUUGGAUGGCUUCAGGAGGAGUAGAGGUAGGCGAAAGAAAUACUGGAGGGAGGUAAUUAGGUAGGACAUGAAGUUGUUUCAGCUUACUGAGGACAUGACCCUAGACAGGAAGGUGUGGAGGUCGUGGAUUAGGGUAGAAGGCUAGUGUGAGUGGGUGGGUUGUGGCUAGGUGUUAGUAGAGUUUGGGUGUGAUAGGUGUCUUAGGUCUGUGAAUGUGUGUGACUACUACAUGGGUAUCCGUUUUCCUUAUUUCUUAUUACGUAUUGUUCGUUGUUCUCUUAUUUUCUUUUCUCGGAUAUCUAGUGUUAUUAUUUCUUACCUUUUAUUUUGUUAUGCUACCCAUCCAGUUUUAUAUUUCAUUACGAUCUUGGUAUAUUAUUCUAUAUCUUGAGCCGGGGGUCUAUCGGAAUCAACCUCUCUACUUCCUCGGAGGUAGCGGUAUGGACUGCGUACAUUUUACCCUCCCCAGACCUCACUUUGUGGGAAUACACUGGGACUGUUGUUGUUGUUGUUGUUGUAUUACCCCUCCAUACAUACACAUAUAUAGAAGUCAAGUUGCUAUUGCCUAAGAAGAAGAUCAACUAAAAUAUAGAACAUACAGCCAGGAACUUGUAUGUUAUCUCAGGAUCGAGUUUUUAUUGUAAAAUAAACAAUUUGAACCAGUUGAAUAUCUACUAAUUGUAGAAAUAACAUACAAGUUCCGAAAAUAGGAAACCUCUAUUAAAUGAUGGGCAAAUCUAAACAAAUUUUCUUUUUUCAUCGAAGACUGCAUGGCAGUAAUUUUAGAUGAAGACGGUAACCCUUAAUUCGGUUCUUUAGCGACCAUCUUUGUGGUUUGAAGAAAAUUGGUAAUGAUCUGGUAAAGUUAUUUCACUAGCAUACUUCAUAUUACACAGUUGUUUCAGAUAUGAUCUCUGAUCAUGCAGUGUCUUUUUUCUCAGAAAAAGGUCUUUUCACAUACAUGAAAGCAAUCUUGACUACUGAAAAAAAGAUGUAGAAGUAACUGUUGCGGCUAAUGGAAAUGAUAAACACGCAAAAUGAUGAAGUAUCAUGCUCACAUAAAGUAAAACAAGUGAGUUAACUUACGCUUUUGUUCUCUGGUAUUUCAGCUAUGUAUUCCAAUUCUCGUGAGCUGAUCGCUGAAUUGCUGUGUUUACGUUUUCUCAACCUCCCUAAAGACUAUCAGAGUGUGUUUUGUACAACUGAACUGGACUGAAAAUUCUCAUAGCUAUAAGUAGAGAUUCUCUAAGUAUGUCGAUGCAGGAUUACAAUAGUUAUAUAAUUAUUAAUUGAUGACCAUGUUGUUAAAGUAGAUAGAAAAUGACAAAUCCACUUGCUAAUCCUACUAAUAUUAUGAGUUGGAAAUAGACGUGGUCCUUUUGAAUGAUGAGUAGUCACAUGCCCCUCUAGUAUAGCUUUUCUAGUCAUCAAACAGUCAGAUAAUUGUUUCUAAUUUAUAACUGCAGGGAUUGUGCUGCUGACAAGAAGAAACUGCCACAAGAAUUUACUGUUCACUUCAUCCCAG